CUUUGUAUAAAAGCAGUUACAUCAUUAGAUGUGAGGUCAGGGGCAAGCCGAGAGACAAAAACUUGCCGCUUUGGUGGGACUCCCACCAGAGGUUUUGGCACCACUGAUCUGGUACCUGUGACGGCAAUAUCCGGUGGUCCGGGACGUUUAUUAACUGGUGGGAUCGAAAUAGAUGGGAUGGGCUUUGGAACGGACUCGACAGACACGGAC
rnacentral:lncRNA from 1 species